rnacentral:tRNA from 1 species
AGGGCUGUGGCUUAGCGGUAGAGCGCUCGCCUUGCACGUUGAGAGGCCCUGGGUUCAAUCCUCAGCACCACAU